GAGAUGUAGAUGUUGUUGUUUCAGAUGUAGAUGUUUCUGUAGUUGAUGUAGAUGUUGGUUCAGUGGUUGAUGAUGAUUCAGAUGUAGAUGUUUGAGCAGGUGUUGUUGAUUGAGGUGUAGAGGUUGUUGUUUCAGAUGUAGAUGUUUCUGUAGCUGAUGUAGAUGUUGGUUCAGUGGUUGUUGUUUCAGAUGUAGGUGUUUCUGUAGCUGAUGUAGAUGUUGGUUCAUCAGUGGUUGUUGAUUCAGAUGUAGAUGCUUGAGCAGGUGUUGUUAUUUGUGGUGUAGAUGUUGGUGUUGAUUCAGAUGUCGAUUCAGUGGUUGGUGAGUGAGAUGUAGAUACACUGAACCAACAUCUACAUCGACUACAGAAACAUCUACAUCUGAAUCAACAACAACAUCCACAUCUCACUCACCAACCACUGAAUCAACAUCUGAAACAACAACACCACCAUCUACACCUCAAUCAACAACACCUGCUCAAGCAUCUACAUCUGAAUCAACAUCAACCACUGAACCAACAUCUACAUCAACUACAGAAACAUCUACAUCUGAAACAACAUCUACAUCUCACUCACCAACCACUGAAUCAACAACACUAACAUCUACACCUCAAUCAACAACACCUGUUCAAGCAUCUACAUCUCAAUCAACAACCACUGAACCAACAUCUACAUCGACUACAGAAACAUCUACAUCUGAAACAACAACAUCUACACCUCCAUCAACAACACCUGCUCAAACAUCUACAUCUAAAUCACCAUCAACCACUGAACCAACAUCUACAUCAACUACAGAAACAUCUACAUCUGAAACAACAACAUCUACAUCUCACUCACCAACCACUGAAUCAAUAUCUGAAUCAACAACACUAACAUCUACACCUCAAACCAACAUCAACCAGUCAAUCAACUGCAACGACACCUACAGAUCAAUCAACAACAACUGUAACAUCGACAUCAAUUGCACCAACAUCUACCACUCAGUCAACAACAACUGAUACAUCCUCAACACAAACUGCACCAACAUCUACCCCUCUAUCAUCAACUGCACCAGCAUCUUCAUCAACUGCAUCAAAUAUUUUAUUAUCUACAUCUACACAACCAACAUCAACCAGUCAAUCAACUGCAACGACACCUACAGAUCAAUCAACAACAACUGUAACAUCGACAUCAAUUGCACCAACAUCUACCACUCAGUCAACAACAACUGAUACAUCCUCAACACAAACUGCACCAACAUCUACCCCUCUAUCAUCAACUGCACCAGCAUCUUCAUCAACUGCAUCAAAUAUUUUAUUAUCUACAUCUACACAACCAACAUCAACCAGUCAAUCAACUGCAACGACACCUACAGAUCAAUCAACAACAACUGUAACAUCGACAUCAAUUGCACCAACAUCUACCACUCAGUCAACAACAACUGAUACAUCCUCAACACAAACUGCACCAACAUCUACCCCUCUAUCAUCAACUGCACCAGCAUCUUCAUCAACUGCAUCAAAUAUUUUAUUAUCUACAUCUACACAACCAACAUCAACCAGUCAAUCAACUGCAACGACACCUACAGAUCAAUCAACAACAACUGUAACAUCGACAUCAAUUGCACCAACAUCUACCACUCAGUCAACAACAACUGAUACAUCCUCAACACAAACUGCACCAACAUCUACCCCUCUAUCAUCAACUGCACCAGCAUCUUCAUCAACUGCAUCAAAUAUUUUAUUAUCUACAUCUACACAACCAACAUCAACCAGUCAAUCAACUGCAACGACACCUACAGAUCAAUCAACAACAACUGUAACAUCGACAUCAAUUGCACCAACAUCUACCACUCAGUCAACAACAACUGAUACAUCCUCAACACAAACUGCACCAACAUCUACCCCUCUAUCAUCAACUGCACCAGCAUCUUCAUCAACUGCAUCAAAUAUUUUAUUAUCUACAUCUACACAACCAACAUCAACCAGUCAAUCAACUGCAACGACACCUACAGAUCAAUCAACAACAACUGUAACAUCGACAUCAAUUGCACCAACAUCUACCACUCAGUCAACAACAACUGAUACAUCCUCAACACAAACUGCACCAACAUCUACCCCUCUAUCAUCAACUGCACCAGCAUCUUCAUCAACUGCAUCAAAUAUUUUAUUAUCUACAUCUACACAACCAACAUCAACCAGUCAAUCAACUGCAACGACACCUACAGAUCAAUCAACAACAACUGUAACAUCGACAUCAAUUGCACCAACAUCUACCACUCAGUCAACAACAACUGAUACAUCCUCAACACAAACUGCACCAACAUCUACCCCUCUAUCAUCAACUGCACCAGCAUCUUCAUCAACUGCAUCAAAUAUUUUAUUAUCUACAUCUACACAACCAACAUCAACCAGUCAAUCAACUGCAACGACACCUACAGAUCAAUCAACAACAACUGUAACAUCGACAUCAAUUGCACCAACAUCUACCACUCAGUCAACAACAACUGAUACAUCCUCAACACAAACUGCACCAACAUCUACCCCUCUAUCAUCAACUGCACCAGCAUCUUCAUCAACUGCAUCAAAUAUUUUAUUAUCUACAUCUACACAACCAACAUCAACCAGUCAAUCAACUGCAACGACACCUACAGAUCAAUCAACAACAACUGUAACAUCGACAUCAAUUGCACCAACAUCUACCACUCAGUCAACAACAACUGAUACAUCCUCAACACAAACUGCACCAACAUCUACCCCUCUAUCAUCAACUGCACCAGCAUCUUCAUCAACUGCAUCAAAUAUUUUAUUAUCUACAUCUACACAACCAACAUCAACCAGUCAAUCAACUGCAACGACACCUACAGAUCAAUCAACAACAACUGUAACAUCGACAUCAAUUGCACCAACAUCUACCACUCAGUCAACAACAACUGAUACAUCCUCAACACAAACUGCACCAACAUCUACCCCUCUAUCAUCAACUGCACCAGCAUCUUCAUCAACUGCAUCAAAUAUUUUAUUAUCUACAUCUACACAACCAACAUCAACCAGUCAAUCAACUGCAACGACACCUACAGAUCAAUCAACAACAACUGUAACAUCGACAUCAAUUGCACCAACAUCUACCACUCAGUCAACAACAACUGAUACAUCCUCAACACAAACUGCACCAACAUCUACCCCUCUAUCAUCAACUGCACCAGCAUCUUCAUCAACUGCAUCAAAUAUUUUAUUAUCUACAUCUACACAACCAACAUCAACCAGUCAAUCAACUGCAACGACACCUACAGAUCAAUCAACAACAACUGUAACAUCGACAUCAAUUGCACCAACAUCUACCACUCAGUCAACAACAACUGAUACAUCCUCAACACAAACUGCACCAACAUCUACCCCUCUAUCAUCAACUGCACCAGCAUCUUCAUCAACUGCAUCAAAUAUUUUAUUAUCUACAUCUACACAACCAACAUCAACCAGUCAAUCAACUGCAACGACACCUACAGAUCAAUCAACAACAACUGUAACAUCGACAUCAAUUGCACCAACAUCUACCACUCAGUCAACAACAACUGAUACAUCCUCAACACAAACUGCACCAACAUCUACCCCUCUAUCAUCAACUGCACCAGCAUCUUCAUCAACUGCAUCAAAUAUUUUAUUAUCUACAUCUACACAACCAACAUCAACCAGUCAAUCAACUGCAACGACACCUACAGAUCAAUCAACAACAACUGUAACAUCGACAUCAAUUGCACCAACAUCUACCACUCAGUCAACAACAACUGAUACAUCCUCAACACAAACUGCACCAACAUCUACCCCUCUAUCAUCAACUGCACCAGCAUCUUCAUCAACUGCAUCAAAUAUUUUAUUAUCUACAUCUACACAACCAACAUCAACCAGUCAAUCAACUGCAACGACACCUACAGAUCAAUCAACAACAACUGUAACAUCGACAUCAAUUGCACCAACAUCUACCACUCAGUCAACAACAACUGAUACAUCCUCAACACAAACUGCACCAACAUCUACCCCUCUAUCAUCAACUGCACCAGCAUCUUCAUCAACUGCAUCAAAUAUUUUAUUAUCUACAUCUACACAACCAACAUCAACCAGUCAAUCAACUGCAACGACACCUACAGAUCAAUCAACAACAACUGUAACAUCGACAUCAAUUGCACCAACAUCUACCACUCAGUCAACAACAACUGAUACAUCCUCAACACAAACUGCACCAACAUCUACCCCUCUAUCAUCAACUGCACCAGCAUCUUCAUCAACUGCAUCAAUGCAUCAAUGCAUCAAAUAUUUUAUUAUCUACAUCUACACAACCAACAUCAACCAGUCAAUCAACUGCAACGACACCUACAGAUCAAUCAACAACAACUGUAACAUCGACAUCAAUUGCACCAACAUCUACCACUCAGUCAACAACAACUGA
ensembl:lncRNA